rnacentral:rRNA from 1 species
UACGAAGGGUGCAAGCGUUACUCGGAAUUACUGGGCGUAAAGCGUGCGUAGGUGGUUUGUUAAGUCUGUUGUGAAAGCCCCGGGCUCAACCUGGGAAUGGCAAUGGAUACUGGCAAGCUAGAGUGCGGUAGAGGGUAGUGGAAUUCCCGGUGUAGCGGUGAAAUGCGUAGAGAUCGGGAGGAACACCAGUGGCGAAGGCGGCUACCUGGACCAGCACUGACGCUGAGACGCGAAAGCGUGGGGAGCGAACAGG